AUCACCUGCUCGGAUACAACCGCAUUAGCAACUUUUGAUUUAUAAGUAAAAUAAUUCUUUGUCAUGAUUGUAUUUGAUACAUUUGAUGAAUUGAUGUUGCACCAUGAUGUGUGUUUAUUGUCAUUUUCAGAAAUACAUACAUGGAUCAAAAGGAGUGUGAAACACACAUGGAAGGCAUGGAGGACCAAAGAAGUUGAUUAGGGGCCAAGUACAAGUAUUCCCAACGUCCUCAUAAGUCACCCAC
rnacentral:lncRNA from 1 species